GUUGUAAAGCUCCUUUCACCGGAGAAGAAAUGACGGUAUCCGGAGAAGAAGCCCCGGCUAACUUCGUGCCAGCAGCCGCGGUAAUACGAAAGGGGCUAGCGUUGUUCGGAUUUACUGGGCGUAAAGCGCACGUAGGCGGAUCGAUCAGUCAGGGGUGAAAUCCCAGAGCUCAACUCUGGAACUGCCUUUGAUACUGUCCAUCUGGAGUAUGGAAGAGGUGAGUGGAAUUCCAAGUGUGGAGGUGAAAUUCGUAGAUCUUCGGAGGAACACCACUGGCGAAGGCGGCUCAGUGGUCCGUUACUGACGCUAAGGUGCGAAAGCGUGGGGAGCAAACAGGAUUAGAUACCCUGGUAGGCCACGCCGUACACGAUGAAUGUUAGCCGUCGGGCGGUAUACUGUUCGGUGGCCCAGCUCACGCAUUAAACAUUCCGCCUGGGGAGUAGGGUCGCAAGAUUAAAACGCUAAGGAAUUGACGGGGGCCCGCACAAGCGGUGGAGCAUGUGGUUUUGUUCAUAGCUACGCGGAGAACCUUACCAGCCCUUGACAUGUCCAGCUGUCCGGAGAGAUUUGGAAUUCCCUUCGGCGACCGGA
rnacentral:rRNA from 1 species